AAAAAGAAUGCAUAGAAAAUGGAAAAUUUUUGGAGAAAAAUAUUAUCUUGAUAAAUUUAGAUUUUUUCGUAAAAAAAGUAAAGACCUCAUAAUGAAAGAUUAUAAGAUGUAUUUGAGUACUAUUCAAAAUAAAGUGAAAACUUGUUCUAAGAGCUUUUGGAAAUAUAUUAAAAACUGUAAAAGGGAGGGAGCAAUUCCUAGCAAAAUGUUGUAUGAUGGGUCGGUUGCCGAUAAUGGAGAGGAAAUAUGGAGAUUGCUUGCCUGUUUUUUUAAAAGUGUUUAUGAACUAUAUCAGCAGCCUCUCAAUCUUUACCAUCAUUUGAAUAAUCCAGGUGUUGUAAACUCUGUAAUUUUCAUACCAGAGAUGGUAUGUAAUAAAAUGAGAGCACUUGAUGCGAAAAAAGGGAGCUGGUUUUGACGGGUACCCAUCAUAUUUUGUCAAAAACUGUUGUGAGACCUUAUGUUAUCCUCUGUCAAAAUUAUUCAAUAAGUCCAUUAGAUCUGGGGAAUUUCCAUGCAUGGAAAACUGCGUUAUUGAUACCAAUAUAUUUAAGAAUUCUGGUGAUAGGAACUAAGUUGAAAACUAUCGGGGAGUCAGCAAGUUAUCGGUUUUUUAGCAAGAUAUUUGAAAGUAUUAUUUUGGACAAUUUGUUUAUUAGUCUGAAGUCGUUGAUCACGGAUUUUUUCCGGAACGUAGCAUUGAGACUAAUUUAAUUUUGUACACAGAGUUCUUGUCAGGAGCUUUGGACAGGAGCGUACAUGUUGAUUCAUUGUACUCCGAUUUUGACAAGGCUAACCACAACCUCCUUCUAGUCUGCACCAUUUUUCGUGACGUCGGGAGUACCUCAGGGCUCGCAUCUGGGUCCAAUGUUAUUCCUAAUAUACAUUAACGACUUGAUUGAAUGUUUUAAAUUUUCCAAGAUCCUCUUGUAUGCAGAUGACUUGAAAAUCUUCAAGGUGAUAUUAAUAGUACGUGAUUGCAUUGAACUACAGAAGGAUCUUGAUCCGUUGGCGAAAUACUAUGAAUAUAAAAAGAUGAAAUUGAACAUUAGUAAAUGUGCGAGUUUUUCUUUCACUAGAAAAAUAUCCAGUAUCGAGUUUCAAUAUUAUUUGAAUGAUGAACCAAUUAAACGGGUCAGUCAAGUGAAGGAUAUGGGAGUUAUCUUCGAUUCAAAAUUGUCUUUCAACAGACAUGCUGAUUAUAUAAUUAACUCUUGUAACAGAUCUUUAGGUUUCUUUUGUAGGAUGUGUAGAGAUUUUAAUGAUGAAACUGCAAUUAAGGUAGUUUAUUAUUUCUUUGUUUACAGUAAACUGAACUUCGCCAGCGUAGUAUGGACUACCCAAUAUAAUUGUAAUGAAUUAAGAUUAGAAAGAGUGCAGAAUAGGUUCUUGAUGUUUCUACAUUUUGAAUUAACCGGAAUAUAUGUCACCAUGGGUAAUAGUAGAAUUCGUUCUCUGUAUCAUUUGCGGACAUUAGAGCAGCGCAGAAUUUUAAUAGACCUAAUUUUCGUAUAUGAAAUUUUAAUGAAUUACUACCACUGUCCUGAGCUGAGCACUGAUCGGCUUUCAUACCCCUAAGAGGAGUACCAGAAGCAGACAAUUGUUGGCUGUUUUGAGUUUCCGAAUCAAUGUCGGCGGAAACUCUCCCAUCGCUAGGUUUUGUGAACUUUUUAAUGAGUAUUGUGUUAGUUUGGAUCCAUUUUGUGUAUCAUUGUCCUCAUUCAGGAAAUAAAGUAGGGUUUAUUUUUCAUAAGAUGUAAUUUUACAAAUUAUAUUAUGUUUCAUGGUAAUAAUUAGUUUAGAUUAAGUCCUUAUCUGUACAUGAUGUAUUAUUAUUUCGUUGUUCAAUUCGAAGUAAGUUGUGGAUAUUGUUUUGAGAUUUUAUCCUGUUGAUAUCCCUUAGUCUGAAUAAAUAAAUAAAUAAAUUCUAGGUUCAUAAAAUGUA